rnacentral:lncRNA from 1 species
UUGGAUCCAAUAUAAUUUAAAACUUGCAAACUUGCACGUGAACGAAAAUGAUGUCGAAUGUGUGAAAUAGUUGUAGAAUAACCUUAAUAAAUUUGACAUGAUUCGGAUGAACCUUUGUUUUUCUUAUGUUGCCACUUCUCCCAGGUUUCGUGUGGCAAGAGCUCCUCGUGGCCAACCGUCUUGGGCAACUACUAGCUUUAUUUUUCUCGACGCUGCUCCCAUGUCCUGUGUGAUAGGAACUCUUGGCAGCCAACCAUCUUGGGGCAAUUGUUGAGUUUCUCAUUUCAACACUGCUCCCAGGUUCUGUGAGAUAAGAACUACCCAUGGCCAACCGUCUUGUGCAGCUAUUGAAAUUUCUUGUUAUUAGCACUAUUCCCAAGUUCUGCGUGAUAAGAGAUCUUCGUAGCCAAUUGUUUUGGGUAUCUAGUAACUUUAUUUUUCUCGACACGACUCCUAUUCAUGUGUGAUAAGAGCACUUCGUAGCCAACCGCCUUGAGCAGUUGGUAACUUUAUUGCUCUCAACUCUACUCCCAACUUCUGUGUGAUAAGAGCUCUUCGUAACCAAUCAUCUUGGUCUUAAAGGAUCUCAUGUACAUAUAUAGUAGCUACAAAGGAUCCAACGCUUGCUCGGCAGCACAUGAUACUUUUCUUGGAGCAGCUCGUGGUCCGAGAUUUUCCCUGCAUUGCCACAAGAGUUGUUAACAUAGUGUAAUCGGCGACGGGAAGGUAGACAAUUUGAAUAGUUGCUAUGUGUUGCUUUACCGUUUGUUAUUGCAGCAUAGAUGUUAGUCGACCUCUUCCAUGCCUGUUUCUGGUUUGACUUUGACGUAAUCUGGCCCGAGGACUUUGUUCAAGAGAAACCAUGCGAGAUUUUCUACUCUUGUCUCCGGAGGGUUUUUGCCUGUGUAUCUUAGCUCUCCGGUAAACAUUUGUGCUUCUUCGGUGGGCGGUGGAAUUAUUUCUAUAGGGAGUGUGUCAUGUAGCAUCCUAGCACAUGUGCGAGGCGUGACAGUGUUGUAUCUUGCUGCUGACGCACGAUCUUGUUUUCAUAGAGGAAUUGGAUAUUCUCUCGGUGGAAAUCCUCCAGCGUGGCGGUAGCGCUGUCCAGCUGGGUGUGUGCUUUGUUCAAUGAGUGGUAGUUUGCAUCGUCGAUAACUAUGUGCUUGCUUUUGGCGAUAGUUUUGAUUGCGUCUUAUGCUGCCUCAUCUAUUUUUCCUAUUGCUGAAUAGAAAGUGUUUGGUAGGAGUGUGAAAUGCGUCUGAAGCAGGGAUUAAUAUUUCAUACCAGCCUACAUAUUUGUUGCUCUCUCGUGGCGCGGCUCCGCUUGAAAGGAUGCAAGUCUGAGUUGCGGCGCAUAUUUCUUCGAGCAUUUUUUUUUCUGGAGAGCUUGAGUACCUGCAAAACAGGAUUUGUUAGGUGCGUGGAGUAAUAAUGUUAUAGCAGAAUAUAGAAUUGUAUGGGAGUACCUUGUAGUGCGAUGGAUUGUCC